GAUGAACGCUGACAGAAUGCUUAACACAUGCAAGUCUUUGGCGAAGCUGUGCUUGCACCGCCUAGCCAAGGCGGACGGGUGAGUAACGCGUAAGGAACUUGCCCUGCAGUCAGGGAUAACAGACGGAAACGACUGAUAAGACCUGGUAAAGUCAGGCGGACUCAUGUCCAGCCUGAUGAAAAGAGAUGCUGCAGGAGAGCUUUGCGUCCUAUUAGCUUGUUGGUGGGGUAACGGCCCACCAAGGCGAUGAUAGGUAGCCGGCCUGAGAGGGUGGACGGCCACAAGGGGACUGAGAUACGGCCCUUACUCCUACGGGAGGCAGCAGUGGGGAAUAUUGGACAAUGGGGGCAACCCUGAUCCAGCAAUUCUGUGUGCACGAUGAAGGUUUUCGGAUUGUAAAGUGCUUUCAGCAGGGAAGAAAAAAAUGACGGUACCUGCAGAAGAAGCGACGGCUAAAUACGUG
rnacentral:rRNA from 1 species